CAUAACCACAUAGCUUACAUCCUUCAUGAUGGCCAGACCCAUCUGGGAAGUUCCAGCCAGCUUCUUCAGCUUUCCCUCGUGCCAUUUAAGUGGGGAAAGCUCCACACUGAAGUACCGAGUUAUCGGGAGCAUGUCAGGAUUCAGUUCAUCUUGUUUAUUGAACUCCUGCUGGAUACCAAAUUCUAGGGUUUUGGUUUUUUGCACUGAAUGUAGUCUAGACUCAUCUUCACGGGCUUGUGUUGCCCCAGGAUACUGUCAAAGGCAGUAUUUGUGUGUUUCUGCAGAGUUUUGCACAGAGUCUGUUCCCAUGCAAACCAAUGAGGGAGAAGUGUCGGAAGAAAGCAGUUCCAAGGUGGAACAGGAGGAUUUUGUAAUGGAAGGGCAUGGCAAGACUCCACCUCCUGGUGAAGAAAGCAAACAAGAGAAGGAGCAAGAAAGGGAAGAACAGUUAAUGGAAGACAAGAAAAGGAAGAAGGAGGAUAAAAAGAAAAAAGAAGCCACUCAGAAGGUCACGGAACAAAAAACCAAAGUGCCCGAAGUGACGAAACCAAGUUUAAGCCAACCAACGGCCGCCAGCCCAAUUGGCAGCUCUCCAUCGCCACCAGUCAAUGGUGGCAACAAUGCCAAAAGGGUGGCAGUGCCGAACGGACAACCGCCAAGCGCCGCCCGCUACAUGCCUCGGGAGGUGCCGCCGCGAUUCCGUUGCCAGCAGGACCACAAAGUGUUACUAAAACGUGGGCAGCCCCCUCCGCCGUCCUGCAUGCUCCUCGGGGGUGGGGCAGGGCCUCCUCCCUCCACAGCACCUGGAGCAAACUCAAACAACGCACAAGUGACAGGAACGCUGCUGCAGGGGGACGGUGGGACUGCACCAGAGUCAACCCUUGGAGGUGCUGCUGCUUCAAAUUAUGCAAAUUCCACUUGGGGCCCGGGAGCCUCCUCCAACAACGGCGCCUCCCCCAACCCAAUUCACAUCCGGGACAAGGUGAUUGUAGACGGGUCUGACAUGGAAGAGUGGCCUUGUAUUGCCAGCAAAGACACUGAGUCUUCUUCCGAAAACACCACCGAUAACAACAGUGCCUCGAACCCUGGCUCUGAGAAGAGCACUCUGCCAGGAAGCACCACUAGUAACAAAGGAAAAGGGAGCCAGUGCCAGUCUGCAAGUUCUGGGAACGAAUGUAAUCUUGGGGUCUGGAAAUCUGACCCUAAGACUAAAUCUGUUCAAUCUUCCAACUCUACUACAGAGAGCAACAAUGGACUAGGAAAUUGGAGGAAUGUGAGUGGUCAGGAUAGAAUUGGACCUGGCUCUGGCUUCAGCAACUUUAACCCAAAUAGCAACCCAUCUGCCUGGCCAGCGCUGGUCCAAGAAGGAAAUUCUAGGAAAGGGGCAUUGGAAACUGAUACUAGUAAUUCCAGUGCACAGGUUAGCACAGUAGGUCAGGCAUCCAGGGAACAGCAGUCAAAGAUGGAAAAUGCGGGUGUUAAUUUUGUUGUCUCUGGCAGAGAACAGGCUCAAAUUCAUAACACUGAUGGACCAAAAAAUGGAAACACUAACUCCUUGAACUUAAGUUCACCAAACCCCAUGGAGAAUAAGGGAAUGCCCUUUGGAAUGGGCUUGGGGAACGCCUCCAGGAGCACUGAUGCCCCUUCACAAAGCACUGGAGAUCGAAAGACUGGGAGUGUUGGAUCUUGGGGUGCAGCUAGGGGGCCUUCUGGAACUGACACAGCCUCUGGACAAAGCAAUUCUGGAAACAAUGGGAACAAUGGAAAGGAUAGAGAGGACUCCUGGAAAGGAGCUUCUGUUCAGAAAUCAUCUGGGUCAAAAAAUGACUCUUGGGACAAUAACAGGUCUACGGGUGGGUCCUGGAACUUUGGCCCUCAGGACUCUAAUGACAACAAAUGGGGUGAAGGGAACAAAAUGACAUCUGGGGUCUCUCAGGGAGAAUGGAAACAGCCGACUGGGUCUGAUGAGUUGAAAAUUGGAGAAUGGAGUGGUCCAAACCAACCAAAUUCUAGCACUGGAGCAUGGGACAAUCAAAAGGGCCACCCCCUCCCUGAAAACCAAGGCAAUGCCCAGGCUCCCUGUUGGGGAAGAUCUUCCAGCUCCACAGGAAGUGAAGUUGGAGGUCAAAGCACUGGAAGCAACCACAAAGCAGGAAGUAGUGACAGUCAUAAUUCUGGCCGUCGGUCAUACCGGCCCACACAUCCUGAUUGUCAGGCUGUCUUACAGACUCUUUUGAGCCGAACUGAUUUGGACCCCAGGGUGCUCUCAAACACUGGCUGGGGCCAAACUCAAAUUAAGCAGGACACAGUGUGGGAUAUUGAAGAGGUGCCAAGGCCUGAGGGGAAAUCUGACAAAGGAACUGAGGGGUGGGAGAGCGCUGCCACACAGACCAAGAACUCAGGGGGCUGGGGAGACGCACCCAGCCAAAGCAAUCAAAUGAAGUCUGGAUGGGGGGAGCUCUCAGCCUCUACAGAGUGGAAAGACCCCAAGAACACAGGAGGCUGGAAUGACUACAAGAACAACAACUCUUCCAACUGGGGAGGCGCACGACCAGAUGAAAAGACUUCUUCCUCUUGGAAUGAGAACUCCAGCAAGGAUCAGGGGUGGGGAGGGGGACGCCAGCCCAAUCAAGGAUGGACUUCUGGGAAGAAUGGUUGGGGAGAGGAAGUUGAUCAAGCGAAAAACAGCAGUUGGGAAAGUUCUGCAAGUAAACCUGUGUCUGGGUGGGGUGAAGGAGGGCAGAAUGAAAUUGGAACUUGGGGGAACAGUGGGAAUGCAAGCCUAGCUUCCAAAGGCGGGUGGGAAGAUUGCAAACGGUCUCCAGCAUGGACUGAGACCGGCAGACAGCCCAGUUCCUGGAAUAAACAGCACCAACAGCAGCAGCCACAGCAGCCGCCGCCACCACAACCAGAGGCUUCUGGUUCCUGGGGAGGCCCACCCCCACCACCUCCAGGCAACGGACGACCUUCCAAUUCCAACUGGAGCAGCGGGCCACAGCCAGUAACCCCUAAGGAUGAGGAACCCAGCGGUUGGGAAGAGCCAUCCCCACAGUCAAUUAGUCGGAAAAUGGACAUCGAUGAUGGCACUUCGGCGUGGGGAGACCCCAACAGUUACAACUACAAGAAUGUGAAUCUGUGGGAUAAGAAUUCCCAAGGGGGCCCAGCACCUCGAGAACCAAACCUGCCUACCCCCAUGACCAGUAAAUCAGCAUCAGUCUGGAGCAAAAGCACACCACCUGCUCCAGAUAAUGGUACUUCAGCUUGGGGUGAGCCAAACGAAAGCAGUCCUGGGUGGGGUGAAAUAGAUGACACAGGAGCAUCGACCACAGGCUGGGGGAACGCACCCUCCAACGCUCCAAAUGCCAUGAAACCUAAUUCCAAAUCUAUGCAAGAUGGCUGGGGGGAGAGUGACGGUCCAGUGACGGGAACUCGCCAUCCCAGCUGGGAAGAGGAGGAGGAUGGAGGAGUCUGGAACACCGCCGGCUCUCAGGGAAGUGCUUCCUCCCACAACUCAGCAAGCUGGGGACAAGGAGGAAAGAAGCAAAUGAAGUGCUCACUGAAAGGAGGAAAUAAUGAUUCAUGGAUGAAUCCUCUUGCCAAACAGUUUUCAAAUAUGGGAUUGCUGAGUCAAACUGAAGAUAAUCCAGGCAGCAAAAUGGAUUUGUCUGUAGGGAGCCUUCCAGAUAAAAAAUUUGACGUGGACAAGCGAGCGAUGAAUCUCGGGGAUUUUAAUGAUAUCAUGAGGAAGGAUCGAUCUGGGUUCCGUCCACCUAAUUCCAAAGACAUGGGAACCACAGACGGUGGGCCUUAUUUCGAGAAGGGUGGCAAUCAUGGUUUGUUUGGAAAUAGCACAGCACAAUCGAGAGGUAUGCACACGCCAGUGCAGCCACUAAAUUCUUCUCCUAAUCUCCGGGCGCAAGUGCCUCCCCAGUUUAUUUCCCCCCAGGUUUCUGCCUCAAUGCUCAAGCAGUUUCCCAACAGUGGCCUGAAUCCAGGUCUUUUCAAUGUGGGGCCCCAGUUAUCUCCUCAACAAAUUGCCAUGCUGAGCCAGCUUCCACAAAUUCCCCAGUUUCAAUUGGCGUGUCAGCUUCUCCUGCAGCAGCAGCAGCAGCAGCAGUUGCUGCAGAACCAGAGGAAGCUCUCGCAGGCUGUGCGCCAGCAGCAAGAGCAGCAGCUGGCUCGGAUGGUGAGCGCCCUGCAGCAGCAGCAGCAGCAGCAGAGGCAGCCUGGCAUGAAGCACUCGCCCUCCCAUCCCGUUGGGCCCAAGCCACAUCUGGACAACAUGGUACCCAGUGCUCUGAAUGUGGGGCUCCCAGACCUUCAAACCAAAGGGCCAAUACCUGGAUAUGGUUCUGGCUUCAGCUCUGGCGGCAUGGACUAUGGCAUGGUUGGUGGGAAGGAGGCUGGAACAGAGUCUCGCUUUAAACAGUGGACCUCCAUGAUGGAGGGACUGCCCUCUGUAGCCACACAGGAAGCCAAUAUGCACAAAAAUGGCGCUAUUGUGGCCCCUGGUAAGACUCGAGGAGGGUCACCAUACAAUCAGUUUGAUAUCAUCCCGAGUGACACACUGGGUGGCCAUACGGGUCCUGCUGGUGAUAGCUGGUUACCUGCCAAAUCUCCACCAACAAAUAAAAUCGGAAGUAAAUCCAGCAAUGCCAGUUGGCCUCCAGAAUUCCAACCAGGAGUGCCAUGGAAAGGUAUCCAAAACAUUGACCCUGAGUCUGACCCCUACGUCACCCCAGGAAGUGUGCUGGGGGGUACAGCCACAUCUCCCAUUGUAGAUACUGACCACCAACUUCUGCGGGAUAACACCACAGGGUCUAAUUCUUCCCUCAACACCUCGCUGCCUUCACCUGGUGCCUGGCCCUACAGUGCCUCUGACAACUCCUUUACCAACGUUCAUAGCACUUCAGCAAAGUUCCCUGAUUACAAAUCAACAUGGUCCCCAGAUCCCAUAGGACACAACCCCACUCAUCUCUCCAACAAGAUGUGGAAAAACCAUAUUUCCUCGAGGAACACUACAGCGCUGCCCCGCCCACCUCCCGGUCUGACCAACCCCAAACCAUCUCCCUGGAGCAGCACAGCACCCCGAUCAGUCAGGGGGUGGGGGACCCAGGACUCACGGCUUGCCUCGGCCUCUACCUGGAGUGAUGGUGGUUCAGUUCGUCCCAGUUACUGGCUGGUUCUUCACAAUCUCACUCCACAGAUUGAUGGGUCAACGUUGAGAACCAUCUGCAUGCAGCAUGGCCCACUGCUGACAUUCCAUCUGAACCUAACCCAGGGCACCGCCCUGAUCCGAUACAGCACCAAACAGGAGGCGGCCAAGGCCCAAACCGCACUGCACAUGUGUGUGUUGGGAAACACUACCAUCCUGGCUGAGUUUGCCACCGAUGAUGAAGUUAGCCGCUUUCUGGCACAGGCUCAGCCGCCUACACCUGCAGCAACCCCAAGUGCACCCGCCGCAGGUUGGCAGUCGCUGGAGACUGGCCAGACCCAGUCGGACCCCGUCGGACCUGCUCUGAAUCUUUUCGGUGGGUCCACAGGGCUCGGGCAGUGGAGCAGCUCGGGCGGUGGCAGCGGGGCCGAUCUUGCUGGCGCUUCAUUGUGGGGGCCCCCAAACUAUUCUUCUAGCUUGUGGGGAGUCCCAGCUGUGGAAGACCCCCAUAGAAUGGGCAGCCCUGCUCCCUUACUACCUGGUGACCUUCUGGGAGGAGGGUCGGAUUCAAUCUGAACUUAGAACUUUCAACUCUGACCUCGUGACCUUUUUUGGAACAGCAGCAGCACUAACUUGACCUUUUCGUUUUUUUUUUCAACUUGCAAUAAAUACAUUUUUAAAAGGAAAAAAGAAAACGGAGAGAGGAAAAAAAAGCCAUCUGAAGUUUCAGAUCUUCUUUCAUGCUUAAGAAGAGAAAGCAGAACAGGUCAGGGGAGUGGAUGUGCAUUUGUGGGGUGGUUGUCUCUCCACUGCCUCCCACACACAGUGGCAGCCGACCCGUGUCCAAACCCUGUUUCGAAGAGAUGCCAUCUAUUCCAGAUCUAGUUCCAGGGUGAGGAGUGUCCAAAUUUCUCUCUUCCAGAAGAUCCAUCCCCUCCAGGCACUCCAGGACGUUUUUUAACCUAAGACCUUGAGCUCUCAACCUUUCUUGCUUCACCCACAGGCUCACUUUUUGAGUAACCGAGUAGCAUUCUGUGGUUCAUAAAGGGACUCAUCCCUGGCAUUUCAAUUUGGCACUGUAGAAUUCAUAGACUUAUCACUUUGCAAUGCGUUAGAAAUGUAUUGAUUUCUUACUUAGAAGGAAAUUCAUCUGAGACGUGCAAACAACCUUCCUGAAAGGUGUGGGCACCCUCAGGCAUUCCUCUGAAUGCCUUUCUACGUGAAGCUUGAAGCUGACAUUAGGUAGAGGGAAAUAACGUUUAACGAAUGCUGCUUGUAGAUCUGUCAGCUACAGCUCUCCUAGAUUUGGCGACCCUACAAGGCAGGGUCAGAAUAGAUCGUUUUGAACAGCUUCUUCACAAACGCCUCUCCCUACCCCCCCCACCCAGCAUCUUAAAGCUAAACCCUGUAUCUGUUUAAAGGCCCUUUUUAGUUUGAGCUCACCAAUCUUGUAUAGUGACGACUUCCUUCAAGGGGAAGAACCUUGAGAAUAAAUGCACACCUAUUCACCACCCACCUUCUGAUUUGAGACGCUAUCCACCUUUGGAUUUUAUUUCUGUUGUUUGUUUGGAGGCCUCUUUUCUGUUGGUCUCCUUCCUCCAGUCCCCCAUAAGUUCUUACUGCCCUUAUAUCCAUCCACAAUGCUCCCAAAGGGCUUUGCUGAUCUCUGCACUUCUUUCCUGGGACCCUCCCUCACCACCACCCUUUGCACACACCAGUGACCAAAGUGUGUCCAGUGAUCUCACAGAAGUCGUCAAAAAUGAUGCCUGCACCACGAAUGUGCUCACAGAGACACGUGCACAAGAUUCUGCACCCUUGGCCUUAACCUCUGUAUGACUUAAGGUGCAGGAACAUUUUUAACAGGUUAUUUAAAAAAAAAAAAAAUGCUUCUGGGAGGGGAAAAAAAGGCAGACAAAACAGCUCAAUUGUGCCCACUCCUAACUCUACUAUUUGCCUACAACUGAAUUCUGUGCCCACCCCACCCAUCCCUGUUUUGAGUAACCAAAAAGAGACAACAAAAGCAACCUGAGGAGAGGUUUCUGGACUAUUUUAUCUUUCUCCAUUUAGCUGGAGAUAUAAAUGCUGCUUUGGGUUCCAUAAUCCUAGGGGCUGUGUUUACAUAGUAAAAUAUAUCCUACCAAAUCAGGAAACAAGCAUGGGGAUCUCUGCAGUGAGAGAGAGCUAAUUAGGUCGCCGAUGGUGAACAAGAGAAGUGCGGGGGUCCGGGGGUGGGGGGCACAGGAGGGAAGACGGAGAAGUGCUCCCCUCCUCCCUUCACUUCUCUCCUUGGCCCCUUUCAACAGAAGGCACAGAGAAAAGCAUCAGAAAGAGGCUGGAGUUUUAAAAGGCAGCUUUCCAACUUUGCACACAAACAGGUUAACAGGAAGGUACAGCAAAAAUCCUCUCAUCUGAAACAGCAGAAACAAAACCUACCAACCUGACUCCAUAGUUGCACAUAGUGACGCUCUCUGCAAGUUACCUAGAAGUGUUUUGUUUUUCUUAUACUUGAAAUAGCUUUUACGAUGUUACUUUGGCGGCUUUCUUUUCUCUCUCCUGGCGGGCAACAGAGGAAGCGGAUGAUGGCAUCCAAGGAAGCGUGAGGGGAGAAAAGGAAGGAUAUGGCAUUGUCUUUUUUGUGUGUGUUUCCUUAAACAUAUAGAGGUUUAAUUGAACUCCCAUGUGUUGAAAUUGCUCCUCAUAUUACUGGUUUUACAUGGACACAGAAACUAGGCACUUUAGAGGUGCACUUGCAUGGCAGGCUGGGCCCCCCUUUUCUCUAUUUUAUUUUACUUUUUUAGUAUAGUGGUACUUAAAAUCACUGGUUCACUUAAAGAAAAAAACAAACAAUAAAAUGUUAAACUCUACUAAUGUACAAAUAAGCUGAAAAGUUGCAUUUUAUGUGUAUUUUUCGCCAUAGCAGGUACUGUAUUUCUCAUGCUGGAUUUAAAAAAAAAAAGAAAAAACCAACAAAAAAAAAAA